rnacentral:lncRNA from 1 species
GUUGAUUUUCCCUAGCAGAUGGCAUAAGGGGUCUUUUUGAUCUCGGAUAGUCUUUUAUAUCGUUUAUUGCCUGAUUUUUAUUCUCAAAACGACUAAUAGUGGAAAAGUGAUGACCGACAAUACGUGCGGUUGUCACAGCAACAUUCCUGCUUCUCUCAUGCUGAUAAUCUGCCAUCUUGCUGCGGUUAAGAGUUGUAGAGGACCCAUUAGAAGGUGUCAAUCACAUAACUUUAUAAACUUGGUUAUUUAAAGUGUUGAAAACAAUGAGGAUAAAACACCCUGUUUUGCUGUUUACGAGUACAGUAGCUGCAUGUGCAGAUAAGAACUUAUCGAGUUGAUAAUUAUUGAUCAAACUCAGGUGAUAUUUAAAUAAUGUUUAACUAGUUCUAUUUUAACAAAUUAUAUCAGAAAAAAAUAAAGAGUGUUUUUUUAAUUUCAAUUUCAAUUUGGUGUUGCAAUACUUUUUUCCAUGUGUAUAUAUUAAUUUAUGCCAAAUUUAUGACACAAGUCCUGUUUUAAUAUUCAAACUGUUAACGUGAGAACCUUCUUAACCAACUAAACCAACCAUCAGAUCAGACAGACACCAACAAUGAAUUAAAAGAAUUUAACCAAAAAAUCCUAAAUAUGAAAGCACAUAAUAAAUGAUUCUUUUAUGAAAUUCAGUUUUGAAUUAUUGAUACAGAAUAUACACAUGGAGUUUCAUGUACUAUUUUUGCUUGUUUAUGUGAUUUUAUCAUCUGUUUUAGAACAAUAUAUAAGAACUGUUUGAAUUAGCAGCUGCAGUCAGAUUGCAUGAAACACCCUUAGUGUGCAUAUUGAAACUUUUGUGAAUAUAGAUAUGGAUACUUAGAAGGCAUUAAACAGGUCAGGAACACUACUGAUAUGUCCUGGCACAUGUAAUUGUUUAUUUACGUGUGACGCAAUUUAUUUUUACCUGGGGUUUUGACCAAUCCUAUAAAUAAAAAACAAUGCAUGAUGGACUAUUACAUGUUUACAAUCAACCUAGAACACAUGUUAUUUACUGAAAUACAACACA